GUGCUACGCAGAAGAAAAAAAACAUACACAAUCAGUUCGGUUUUCAUUGGUGCAAUAGAAAAUUUUUUUUAAAAAAAACGAAGCGCAGCUGCAAAAUUCAAAUGAGUUUAAAAUUUCUAUUGGAUCAAUGCGCAUCCCUUCUACUUCGGUGGUGUUGUGAUUUGAAUAUGCAAAAUAGAAAUGGAGUAGAAUCGUUUAAAUAAGUCUGAGCGGUAGGCAGAUUUUGUGAGUGACUCGAACGAACAACAUGGCGUUCUUCAAACGGGAUAAAAGUCGACGUGUUAAAAAGAAGAAAUCAUUCAGUGUCAUUCAAAGUGAAUACUUGUUUUGAAGUUCAAAAAGUAAAUAUUCAAUUCCAUGUGGAUUUGCCGUUGCCUACUUUGAAUUGGAUUAUAGCGGCUUUUUUAUGGCUACCAUCCACUUACGAUAUACGAUCUCGAAAGAUGGAAUGCCUAGCCAGAAUGAAAUGCACUUCGAUGGAGAGAGCCAUUGUGUCGAGGGAUGAAGUUGAAGCACUGCAUAUACAGAUUCUUUUGAAUUGAUGCGGUAGCCAUGGUGACAAGUUGACGGCGUCGCCUGUAUUUGCACAACAGUUUUGUAUACACAGUAAACGAAGAAAACAACCAUCAUUUGGCCAGGAAUAUUUUGUAUAUACACUCACACACAGACAACACACAUACAUCGUACCAGUCUCCCCAUUAAUCAAACAACUGCAAUUGUAGCCGCACAUACGCGCUCUAAUGUGGAAUAUUCAAACCGGAAUGAAUAUUGAAUGAGAUUUUAAUUGAUUUGAAUUGGAUUUGGUCGUGCCCACAAUGAGUCAGUGAAAAUUCGAUUUUAGUUUGGAAAAUUCAACAUAAAUUUAUAUGAAAAAAAAACAGAGUUUCUGGACAUAAAACCAACAAAUAAAGGAGGGCAUCGCACAAUGGAAAAAAACAACCCCCAAUGACGUCUAAUAUUCGAAGGAGAGAGAAUUAAAGAUAACAAUCGAAACAGAUCUGUUUGGCAAGUUGUUCAUAUUGAAUACAUCCAAUUAAAAGAAUAACAAACAACAUUUCGACCUGAAUCUCACUCGAACAACAUAAGCCAAUACACAGGCCAAUGCGUUGACUGAAUCAGCUAUAAUGACCGAAAUUAAUGAUUUCGCAGCCUCAAUUCAAUGUAAUUGAUUACUGAGAAAUGAUUUGCUCGCAAAUGGCGGAGACACAGAAACAAAAUAAAAACAACUUAUUUUAGACUAGUUUUUAAUUCCAAGCUCAUCAUUGUUUAAGUUUUACAUUUAAGAAGAAGAAGAAAAAUCGCGUCAGUGUUAAGAUAUUCGUUUAGUUUUAAUGAACUCAAACGCAAUAAAUUGGAAUUUGAAGUCGAAGCCGAUUUUGCGGGAAAAAAACGUGCUUAUUGAUGCUUAUGACAGACGACGCAUGGUGACGUGCUGUGAAUGGGAAAAAAUCGUCAACAACUUAAUUAGAUGUGAAGUGUAUUAGUUGUUGGCGCAUCACCAAUUUAUUUAGUUUAUAAUUCAAUUGUAUCAAUUUAAAGCAGAAUCAAGCCCAUUUGCCAUUCCAAUGCAAAGGCAGCGAUAUCACCGCUUCGUUUCUCAUAUUAAUUUUUUGUUUUUUUGUUUGAAUAAUUCGAAGAGUUAAACACACAAUUCAAUUUACUAACAAUUAUAAAACGAUAAAUGGCCAAGAGUAUGAAGCGCACGCACCGAUUGUGCUCGGUCCGCGGUAAACAACGCGAAAGGGGGAGGUCGAAACAUGCGGCCAAGCCAACUAGAUAUCAAUAUGCAUUCGUAUCAAUUUAAUUCAAUUUAAUUAUGUAUGUAUACAGUGAAGUUGCUCUUGUUGCUUGUUGUUGGUGUUUUUUUUGUGCAUUUAGCCGAGUAAUUUUUGCUUUGAUGCUUGUAAUGAUGCAACAAACCGUUCGGUUUUUAUUUAUUACUCCAUUGUAGAAUCAAGAUAUCUCUGGUUAAUGUGGAUAUUUUGAAUUUAUGAUAUGUUUAGGUAUGUCGCUUCGUUCGCUCGCUCGCUCUCUUACUAUCUUGGCACAGGCACAUGAGAUUUAGUGCAAAUUAUGUGUGUUUAAACGAAGAAAAAAAAAACGUUUAGCCAAAUGAAUAUGUAUUAAGUCAAAUGGACGGGAAUUCAAUAAACAUAAUAAAAUGUGUGUGUGAGCACAAGUGAAAUGCGAUGCCAACUCAGUCGUUAUGGUAAUUGAAAUUGAUAAUUAAUUAAUUAAAUCGUUACUUCAUCAAUGAAAACUCUCUGUGAAUUCAAUUUACAAUGGUAAAUCGUACGAAACAAAUAUAACGCCAACAUUUACAUCGCAUAAAUCGAAUCAAACUUGAAAUGGAAGCAUCUUGUGUGUAUCACAUUCAUACUUUAAUUUAUACGAACCCAAUACAAGUGACUGUAAUACUAUUAACAACGUAUGUAGAAAACAGCCAAACAAAACAAUGUAGGUCCAUGAAUGGACGCAAUUAAUAUUAAAAUCGAAAACGUUUUGCUGUACAUAACAAAUCAUGUGAAAAUGAGCAGACUGUUAAAAAAACAACACGAUAAACUGCUGUUUGAGAUAGAUAUAAUUCCAUGAGAAAAUGUUCAGAGAACUCUGUUCAAAUGACAAUACAAAAUCAAUGGAUUUAGAUGUAAGGCUUUAAUUUCAAAUCGACUGAAGAAACUCAACGCGUAAUUUAUUGAAAUCGUUUGAAGAACAGCAGUUUUUCUUUAGCUGGAACUUGAAACUCAACAUUUCCAAAUGACCAAAGCAAUG